UACAGAGGGUGCAAGCGUUAAUCGGGAUUCCUGGGCGUAAAGCGUGCGUAGACGGUUAUGUAAGUCGGGUGUGAAAGCCCCGGGCUCAACCUGGGAAUGCCAUUCGAGACUGCAUAGCUAGGGUGCGGAAGAGGGAAGCGGAAUUUCCGGUGUAGCGGUGAAAUGCGUAGAUAUCGGAAGGAACACCAGUGGCGAAAGCGGCUUCCUGGUCCAGCACCGACGUUCAGGCACGAAAGCGUGGGGAGCAAACAGG
rnacentral:rRNA from 1 species